UAUUGGUUUAAAGGGAGCGUAGGCGGACGCUUAAGUCAGUUGUGAAAGUUUGCGGCUCAACCGUAAAAUUGCAGUUGAUACUGGGUGUCUUGAGUACAGUAGAGGCAGGCGGAAUUCGUGGUGUAGCGGUGAAAUGCUUAGAUAUCACGAAGAACUCCGAUUGCGAAGGCAGCCCGCUGGACUGUAACUGACGCUGAUGCUCGAAAGUGUGGGUAUCAAACAGGAUUAGAUACCCUGGUAGUCCACACAGUAAACGAUGAAUACUCGCUGUUUGCGAUAUACAGUAAGCGGCCAAGCGAAAGCGUUAAGUAUUCCACCUGGGGAGUACGCCGGCAACGGUGAAACUCAAAGGAAUUGACGGGGGCCCGCACAAGCGGAGGAACAUGUGGUUUAAUUCGAUGAUACGCGAGGAACCUUACCCGGGCUUGAAUUGCAACUGAAUGAUGUGGAGACAUGUCAGCCGCAAGGCAGUUGUGAAGGUGCUGCAUGGUUGUCGUCAGCUCGUGCCGUGAGGUGUCGGCUUAAGUGCCAUAACGAGCGCAACCCUUAUCGAUAGUUACCAUCAGGUGAUGCUGGGGACUCUGUCGAGACUGCCGUCGUAAGAUGUGAGGAAGGUGGGGAUGACGUCAAAUCAGCACGGCCCUUACGUCCGGGGCUACACACGUGUUACAAUGGGGGGUACAGAAGGCAGCUACACGGCGACGUGAUGCUAAUCCCGAAGGCCUCUCUCAGUUCGGAUUGGAGUCUGCAACCCGACUCCAUGAAGCUGGAUUCGCUAGUAAUCGCGCAUCAGCCACGGCGCGGUGAAUACGUUCCCGGGCCUUGUACACACCGCCCGUCAAGCCAUGAAAGCCGGGGGUACCUGAAGUGCGUAACCGCGAGGAGCGCCCUAGGGUAAAACUGGUGAUUG
rnacentral:rRNA from 1 species